AGACAGUGGAGUCUGCGCUCAGGGGCAAAGGCAUCGGGUGGCCUACGAUCACCUGCCCGGCACAGACCAGCUGUCCUUCUUCUACUUCCUCAUCUUCAUUAUACAGCCACAGACUGUCAUUAUCUACACACAGCCAAAAGGUUGUUUGCUACGUAUAUCUUUCCUUUUUAACUUGAGUUCUGUGGAACAACUGUACCUGUGACAGUGAGGAAGACGCUUUCACUCUGAGGAGAAGAAAAGUUCUGGCUGAAGAUGGAGUUGUGGUAAACACAGGUGUAGUUGCCCUGGUGGAGCAGUUCUGCUGUGGGGAACUUGAAG